GGAUUGGAUGAGUAGGAAAAUUUAAAGAUAACAUCUUCCAGAGGAAGAAUUUUCUUUAUUGGCUUCCUUCAGGAUUUUAAUCAUCCUUAAAGCCUUUGAGAAUUAAAGAGGAAUGGCCUUCUAAAAUCCCUUAAGUUAAAAGUUUAAAUUAUAUUGAA